AGUGAACGCUGGCGGUAGGCCUAACACAUGCAAGUCGAACGGCAGCACAGUAAGAGCUUGCUCUUACGGGUGGCGAGUGGCGGACGGGUGAGGCAUACAUCGGACUCUACUUUUUCGUGGGGGUUAACGUAGGGAAACUUACGCUAAUACCGCAUACGACCUACGGGUGAAAGCAGGGGAUCUUCGGACCUUGCGCGAUUGAAUGAGCCGAUGUCGGAUUAGCUAGUUGGCGGGGUAAAGGCCCACCAAGGCGACGAUCCGUAGCUGGUCUGAGAGGAUGAUCAGCCACACUGGAACUGAGACACGGUCCAGACUCCUACGGGAGGCAGCAGUGGGGAAUAUUGGACAAUGGGCGCAAGCCUGAUCCAGCCAUACCGCGUGGGUGAAGAAGGCCUUCGGGUUGUAAAGCCCUUUUGUUGGGAAAGAAAAGCAGCAGGUUAAUACCCCGCUGUUCUGACGGUACCCAAAGAAUAAGCACCGGCUAACUUCGUG
rnacentral:rRNA from 1 species